rnacentral:rRNA from 1 species
UACGAAGGGUGCAAACGUUUCUCGGAAUCAUUGGGCGUAAAGCGCACGUAGGCGGCCCUGCAAGUCGGAUGUGAAAUCCCUCGGCUCAACCGAGGACGUGCAUCCGAAACUGCGGGGCUCGAGUAUGGAAGAGGGUCGCAGAAUUCCCGGUGUAGAGGUGAAAUUCGUAGAGAUUGGGAAGAACACCCGUGGCGAAGGCGGCCAACUGGACCGACAUUGACGCUGAGGCGCGAAAGCGUGGGGAGCAAACAGG